rnacentral:rRNA from 1 species
UACGUAGGGGGCAAGCGUUGUCCGGAUUUAUUGGGCGUAAAGAGCGUGUAGGCGGUUUUACAGGUCCGCUGUGAAAACUCGAGGCUCAACCUUUGAAUGUCAGCGGAUACUGCCGGGCUAGAGUCCGGAAGAGGCGAGUGGAACUCCUGGUGUAGCGGUGGAAUGCGCAGAUAUCAGGAAGAACACCAACGGCGAAGGCAGCUCGCUGGGACGGAACUGACGCUGAGGAGCGAAAGCGUGGGGAGCAAACAGG